rnacentral:rRNA from 1 species
UACGUAGGGGGCGAGCGUUGUCCGGAAUCAUUGGGCGUAAAGCGCGUGUAGGCGGCCCGGUAAGUCCGCUGUGAAAGUCCAGGGCUCAACCCUGGGAUGCCGGUGGAUACUGUCGGGCUCGAGUCCGGAAGAGGCGAGUGGAAUUCCUGGUGGUAGCGGUGAAAUGCGCAGAUAUCAGGAGGAACACCAAUGGCGAAGGCAGCUCGCUGGGACGUGACUGACGCUGAGACGCGAAAGCGUGGGGAGCAAAC